rnacentral:rRNA from 1 species
GGUUAAGCGACUAAGCGUACACGGUGGAUGCCCUGGCAGUCAGAGGCGAUGAAGGGCGUGCUAAUCUGCGAUAAGCGCCGGUAAGGUGAUAUGAACCGUUAUAACCGGCGAUACCCGAAUGGGGAAACCCAGUGUGAYUCGUCACACUAUCAUUAACUGAAUCCAUAGGUUAAUGAGGCGAACCGGGGGAACUGAAACAUCUAAGUACCCCGAGGAAAAGAAAUCAACCGAGAUUCCCCCAGUAGCGGCGAGCGAACGGGGAGGAGCCCAGAGCCUGAAUCAGCAUGUGUGUUAGUGGAAGCGUCUGGAAAGGCGCGCGAUACAGGGUGACAGCCCCGUACACAAAAGCGCAUGUGCUGUGAGCUCGAUGAGUAGGGCGGGACACGUGGUAUCCUGUCUGAAUAUGGGGGGACCAUCCUCCAAGGCUAAAUACUCCUGACUGACCGAUAGUGAACCAGUACCGUGAGGGAAAGGCGAAAAGAACCCCGGCGAGGGGAGUGAAAAAGAACCUGAAACCGUGUACGUACAAGCAGUGGGAGC